UUCCUUUUUAUUUUCUUUGUUUUUUUUUCGUUUUGUUGUCGCCGAAACUGAGCCAAAGCCCCGCACCCCUUCCUUCUUCUCCUCGACGCCGACGCGCGCUUCUCCUUCUUUGCCCUAACCGGCGCCGACGCCGGCGGUUUCUUCCUCUCCACAGCCGAAUGAUCUUGUGCCCUAGAGAGCAGCAGCGAGCCACCACCGCCGCUCCUCCCCGUUGCACACCGCGAGCCGACCCUUGCCCUAAACCUCGCGGCGCCUUCUCCCGAGACCUCGCCGGCCACUAGGUUCGACCUAGCGCCGCCGUCCCUCUCCGAUCUCCUCUGUGUCGGACUCCUCCACACUGUGCCCUAAUUCCCCGGUCUCCUCUCAUCAGAGUCGAGCCUUCUUCACAGCGACUUCCUGUGCCCUAUCGCCGGUUUUCUGCCGCGACGCUGACCCCUCUGCCGUCGGCGACGAGCCACCUCUCUGGCUCUCUUUGUGCCGGCGACCGAUCCUCCUUUCCUCCUCACGGCAGAGCACCCCGGCAAGAGCACCAUUCCUCCCCUUACUGUGCCGUGCCUAGUUUAGGUGCGGCCGAGCCUUCCUUUGUGUUCUAGGUUCCGGUUGAGAAUCUGUGCGGUGGAUUUUAGCAGCAAAGCUGUAAAACUUCAGCAGCAACGAUCCUUGCUAUAGAGCCACAGCGACUGUGGUUGAGCAACCUUUUGAUUUACAGCAGCAAUUUAUCUUUGCUAGCAGUAAGUUUUGUUUUCAAGCAGCAUCUUGGUCCAGCAGCAGUAAGGACUGUGAUUCGAGAUUGGGCGUCUCGACAUCGGAUUGGUUCGAUU